CCCUUAGAUGUUCUGGGCCGCACGCGCGCUACACUGAUGCAUUCAACGAGCCUAUCCUUGACCGACAGGUCCGGGUAAUCUUUGAAUCUGCAUCGUGACGGGGAUAGAUUAUUGCAAUUAUUAAUCUUCAACGAGGAAUGCCUAGUAGGCGCAAGUCAUCAGCUUGCGUCGAUUACGUCCCUGCCCUUUGUACACACCGCCCGUCGCACCUACCGAUUGAAUGUUUCGGUGAAGAUUCCGGAUAGGACUGAUUUGAUUUAUUUCAUUUCUGACCUAAAAGCUAUCUAAACCUCAACAUUUAGAGGAAGGUGAAGUCGUAACA
rnacentral:rRNA from 1 species